rnacentral:lncRNA from 1 species
GUGAGUUACGCUCUCCCUUCCCGGCUCAUUCCCGCCCAAACUGCUUCCGUGAACCCCCACGGGUUUUGCUACUCCCGGUAGCACUUUGCAAUUUGUGCCACAGCUACCUGGCAUCUGCGUAGCUGCUGGCAGAAAAACCGCGUGCCUGCCUAGCUCUGCUCGGCAGCCGGUUUGCAGCUUUUAUCCACAGAAACUGCUCACCGCCGAGUCCACGCUCCCCGGUUCCCGCUAAGCUAAGUUGUGAGCUGCUGCGCGCCACAGCCUGUCACCACCUCGGCUUCUUGCUGCAACCUUCAUUGCCCCCAGGCUCCGACCGCCAUCCGCUGGGCCAGACCCUGGAUGCACCCGCUGCCGCGUGAGUCCUUUCGAAUUUAGCUGUGGGUACGGUCACCUGCUUGACGCAAAUACCUGCCGGGACUGUCUUCUAGAUCAUCUUUUGCACAAACUUGUCAGGACUCUGAAGACACACCUAGUAGAUGGAAGCUGCAGGCAAGGUUGGAUUACUGUGAAGUUGCUUUUCUAUCCUCUCCAAAUGCCGCUCUUGGAAGUGACCAAUGCUUUCACCUCACAGUUGGCUGUGCAAGCUUAUUGUUCAUGCCACUUCCCGACUAUCAUGAUGAAGGUGGAUGCUAGUCACCAUCCAAGAGGAGGCCAGUUCUGAUGGUAUCACUGUGAGCUACAGGGGGUCAG